AAACAGAGAAAGUCGUGGUCAAAGGUUUGGGUGGACUUUGAUAAGUUUGAAGAACAUGGAAAACAAGUAGCCAAAUGUAAACACUGCCUCAAGGUGUUUACAGGGUCAAGUAAGAGUGGAACCACACACUUGAAUAACCACUCGAAAGUAUGUCCUGGUAAGAAAAAACAAAAUCAAGAAAGCCAGUUGAUACUUCCAGUUGAUACCAAUGAAAGAAGCUCAACGUUUGAUCAAGAAAGGAGUCACUUGGAUCUUGUGAAAAUGGUUAUUAAGCAUCAGUAUCCAUUAGCUUUGGUUGGUCAAGAAGCCUUCAAGAAUUUUGUGAAAGGUUUGCAGCCGAUGUUUGAGUUUCAAUCAAGAGAUAAAUUGUUAUCUGACUUCUAUAAGGAAAAGAAAAGAGAAGUUCGACAGGGUUUUGAUAAACUUGCUUGUAAGUUCAAUUUGAGAGUCACUUUGUGGAAGAAUGGUCUUGGAAAGACUGCAUAUUGUUGCCUGAUAGCACAAUUUAUUGAUGAUGAUUGGAAACUGAAGAUGAAGAUUCUUGCCUUCAAAACUUUGAAGCAUAUAUAUGACACAAAGGCUUUAAGUGAAAUUAUCCAGAGAUCAGUUUCAGAAUGGAAUCUAGAUGAGAAAAUAUAUUCCAUAACUAUGGAUGACCCUUCUUUGAACAAGGAAAUGUUUCAGCAAAUAAAAGAAACUUGUGUUCGUGAUCAAGGCUCGCUUUCUUCAGCUCAUUGGUUCAUUAGUUGCAAUUUUCUUGAGGAUGGGUCUCGUGAGAUGUAUAGUAUACUUCAUAAGUUUAGGGAAUCCAUUGAAUAUGUCACUGAAACAACAGAUGGGAGACUAAAAUUCCAAGAAGCUGUAGAUCAAGUGAAGCUACAAGGUGGGAAAUCAUUGGAUGAUCUUGUUGGAUAAAAUGGCAGUAACAAAGAAAGCAAAAACGAAUGAAAGAGAAAAAAAACAAAGAAGAGAACUCAGCAAGAAAAUUUUGCAACUGAAGUCAUAUAUUUUUCAUUCAAAUUUUUGAAUAUAUGGGAGUUACAAGUAAUGUUUGACAGUUACCUACUAACUUAACUGCCCUUACUUAAUACAUACUAAAAUAAUGCAAGUUGAUUACAAAAGAAGGCUGGCAUACCAGCUAUUACAUCAGUCAAUUUUCCUACUGACUUUGCUGUCAAAAUACAAAAAAAUUGAACAAAGUUCCAUAGGAACAAAACAUCUAAAAUGUGAUCUUCCAGGAGAACCAGCUUCAUUACUUUACUUCAAAAUAGUGUAGCAGCUCAAAUUAUACAAUUCGUUGCUGCUGGUCUUUGAUCAAUUUUCUGCUACUGGUUCUUUGUUGCAAUGCAGGCCACGACUUCAACACUCCUCCUUGGUCUGUAUGCAACAAACACCAAUCCUUUCCUUCAAAGCAUUAAAUCGGUUGGCUCCCAAUGGUUUAGUUAAAAUGUCAGCCAGUUGAAUUUCUGAACUGCAAUGAACUAAGCUAACCUCCCUCGAUUGCUCAGCUUCUCUAACAAAAUGAAAUUUGAUUUUGAAGUGUUUAGUCUUACCAUGGAAGACUGGAUUUUUGGCUAUGGCCACAGCUGAUUGAUUAUCCACUCUAAUCUCAGUAGGCUGAACUUGACUUUCAUUCAAAUCAUCCAAAAUCUUCCUAAGCCAAAUGGCUUGGUUCACAGCUGCUGCAGCUGAGAUAUACUCAGCCUCUGUUGUAGAUUGUGCAACAGUUUGUUGCUUCUUGGAACUCCAGCUGAAAACACUCGAGCCUAAGGUGAAAAAAUAACCUGAAGUGCUCCUCAUGUCAUCAACUGACCCUGCCCAAUCGCUAUCAGAAUAGCCUACGAGUUUCAGCUCCCUUGCCCUCCAAAACUUCACACCAGUAUCGAUGGUUCCUUUGACAUACCUUAACACUCUUUUUGCUGCCUUCAGAUGUGCCACAUUACUGCAGUGCAUAAACCUUGAAAGUAGACUAACAGCAUAGACAAUGUCUGGUCUAGUUGCUGUUAAAUAAAGCAAACAACCAAUUAAGCUUCUAUAUGCCUUCUCAUCUACUCGAUCAUGUUCACUGGCACUUGACAAUUUUUCUCCCAAUGCAACUGGUGUAGUGACUGAUUUGCAUUUCAACAUGCAAAAUUUUUCAAGCACCUUGAAAGCAAAUGUUUGCUGACUUAUGAAAAUGCCAUCACUUCCUUGUUUUAUCUCCAUGCCAAGAAAGUAGGUCAUCAGACCAAGGUCAGUCAUCUCAAAGACAUGUUGCAUCUGUUUCUUGAAGUCUUCAAUAAGUUCAUCUUUGCAGCCAAUAACCAACAGAUCAUCAACAUACAAGGAAACAAUUAAUAAGGUUUCCUCCUGAUCCUUCUUAACAUAGAGUGUAGGCUCACUGAUACUCUUUGUGAACCCGAGCCUUGCUAAGUAGCCAUCAAUCCUCUCAUACCAGGCCCUUGGAGCCUGUUUUAGACCAUACAAGGCCUUUUUCAGCUUGUAGACUUUCUGUUCUUCACCAGUGACCAUAAAACCCUCAGGUUGCUCAAUGAAUAUUUCUUCAUUAAGAAAGCCAUUUAGAAAGGCUGACUUAACAUCCAGAUGAUGCACCUUCCAAUGCUUUUGAGCUGCCAAAGCUAGCAGCAAUCUGAUAGUAUCCAACCUUGCAACAGGUGCAAAGGUUUCAGAAAAAUCAACCCCUUGCUGCUGACUAUAACCUUUAACAACCAGUCUGGCCUUAUGUCUAUUAAGAGAGCCAUCUGCAUUGUUCUUAAUUCUAUAGACCCACUUUACACCUAUAAUUUUUCUGUUUUCAGGUCUGUUUACAAGCUCCCAUGUAUCAUUUUUUUGAAUCAUUUUAAAUUCAGCUUCCAUAGCAUCCUGCCAGCAUUUUUCUUUUGCAGCUUCUUCAAAACAUGAAGGCUCUACUAUAGUUACUGUACAUCUCUCAUAGAUGUCAGUUAAUGUCUUGGUGCCUCGAACAGGUUGAUCAUCAUAGCCAUUUUCAAUUACUUCUUCAUUUUCAGCUUGCUGCAGAUCAACAUCAAUCUCUUCUCCAUCUGGCAAAUUUGCUUCAAUUUCAUCCCAUUUCCAGCUACUUGCUUCACUGAAUUUCACAUCUCUGCUCACUACAACCUUCUUGGUCAGUGGAUCAAAGACUCUGUAUCCUUUCUUCACAUUGCUGUAGCCAACAAACACCCCAGGCAUGGACCUCCUGUCCAACUUGGUUCUUCUCUCCUCAGGUACCAACACAUAACAUAGACAGCCAAAUACCUUCAAAUGAGAGACAGAUGGUUUCUGUGCAAACCAGGCUUCAAAGGGAGUUUUUCCUUUGACUGCAUUAGUUGGCAACCUAUUCAACAGGUAAAUAGCUGUAUUCACAGCUUCAGCCCAAAAAACAUUAGGCAUUUUAGCCUCAAAUAACAAACACCUAGCCAUAUCAAGGACUGUUCUGUUUUUCCUUUCACAAACACCAUUUUGCUGUGGUGUGUACACAGUAGUCAAUUGGUGUUGAAUUCCAGCAUCAUCACACAAUUUUUGAAACUUCUGAGAUACAUACUCAGAACCAUUGUCAGACCUCAAACAUUUUAGUUUGCAAUUUGCUUGGUUUUCGACCAAGGCUUUAAAUUUGCAGAAAGAGUCAUAAACAUCUGACUUAUGCUUCAAAAAAUUUACCCAACAGAACCUUGAAUAAUCAUCAAUGAAGAGUACAAAGUACCUGCUGCCAUUUAAGGAGGUAGUCUUCAUUGGUCCACAGAUGUCUGUAUGAAUAAGCUGAAGCUUCCCUUGUGCUCUCCAUGCCUUGUUUACUGGAAAGGGUAAUCUGGUCUGUUUGCCUAGCUGACAGACCUCACAUACAGCAUCCUUUGGCUCAAUUUUGGACAUAUCACUGACCAAAUCCAUUUUGUGCAGCAUGCUCAGUGAAUUGUAGUUCACAUGCCCCAUCCUCCUGUGCCACAAGUCUGUCUCAUCAGACUGAGAUGCGUAUGCCUUGGCUCGCAGUUGAUUCACAUCCACAAUGAAGGUUCUGUCUUGCAUAGCCACUGUAGUCAACACUUCACCAGCAGUAUUUUUGAUCAAAUAGUUUUUGCCUUCAAAAAUCAAAGAGUAACCCUUCUCCAAUAGCUGGCCAACACUUAGCAAGUUUUGGUCAAUGUCAGGUACAUAGAGAACCUCUGAAAUGGUUUUAAUACCUGACUUAGUGCUUAUCAAAGCCUUGCCUUUCCCUUUUGCCUCCAGUAGCUCACCAUUGCCAAUUCUGACUUUGGACUUGAAGGUAGUGUCAAGCUCCUUGAAUAUACUCUUCUCAGAAGCCAUAUGGUGGGUACAUCCACUGUCAAUCAACCAUAUUUUACUAACUUUGCUCGAGCUUGCAAAGCAUGAUGCUGAAAAGACAUGCUCUUCUGGUGAUUCAACCUCUUCUGCAGCUUGAGCUUGGCUUUGAAAUUGUGGUUGUGGUUUUGGCUUGCUCUUACAGACCUUUUCAAUGUGGCCAAAUUGCUUGCAGGCUCUACAUUGAAUGUCUGGUCUGUACCAGCAGUAUUUCUCAAGAUGAAUAGUCUUAUUGCAAUGGACACAAGGUGAGAACUUCCUUUUGACAGGUUCUUUCUUCUUCUUCUCAGUUCAGGGCUUCUUGCCUUUGGCAUUUAAGUUUGCACUUGAGCUUUCUCUACUUCUAGCCUGAAAAGCUCCUUCAUAGUGGUCCUCCUGCCUAUUUGCCCUUCUCUGCUCUUGAGCAUAGAGAGCAUUUAUAAGCUCUGUCAAAGGGAUUGUUGACAAGUCCCUUGAAUCUUCCAGAGAAGAAAUUUUUGCUUCAUACUUCUCUGGCAAGGUUGUUAUGACCUUCUCAACCACUCUUUGGUCACUGAAUUCUUCUCCAAGCAGCCUUAUGUUGUUGACAGUAGCCAUGAUUCUGUCAGCAUACUGCUUGAUGGUUUCUGAGUCCUUCAUUUUGAGAUUUUCAAAAUCUCUUCUCAUGUUGAUCAGCUGCUGUUGCCUGGUCUUGUCAGACCCCUGAAACUCCUCCUUGAGUUUGUCCCAGGCCUGCUUUGGAGUGUCACAAGCCAUUAUUCUUGUGAAAAUAACAUCAGAAACUCCACUUUGAAGGCACGACAUAGCCUUAUACUUCUUGGCACAGUCUUCAUUGUGCUGCCUAAUCUGGGCUAUAGUCGGGUUGGCUCUUAGUGGUGAUGGCUCAGUGUCAUUAAGAACAACAUUCCACAGGUCGUGUGCCUGCAGGUAUGUUCUCAUUUUCACUGCCCAGAUGUUGUAAUUUUCUCCAGCAAAGACAGGUGGAGGAGGUGGUGUAAAACUCAUUUUUCAGCAAGCAAAACAACCUCUUCUUCUUUUGUUUCAAACACGAUUUGCUUAGUGACAGUGUACAACAAAGGCCCUCAAAGACUGAAAGCUCUUGAUACCAUUUGUUGGAUAAAAUGGCAGUAACAAAGAAAGCAAAAACGAAUGAAAGAGAAAAAAAACAAAGAAGAGAACUCAGCAAGAAAAUUUUGCAACUGAAGUCAUAUAUUUUUCAUUCAAAUUUUUGAAUAUAUGGGAGUUACAAGUAAUGUUUGACAGUUACCUACUAACUUAACUGCCCUUACUUAAUACAUACUAAAAUAAUGCAAGUUGAUUACAAAAGAAGGCUGGCAUACCAGCUAUUACAUCAGUCAAUUUUCCUACUGACUUUGCUGUCAAAAUACAAAAAAAUUGAACAAAGUUCCAUAGGAACAAAACAUCUAAAAUGUGAUCUUCCAGGAGAACCAGCUUCAUUACUUUACUUCAAAAUAGUGUAGCAGCUCAAAUUAUACAAUUCGUUGCUGCUGGUCUUUGAUCAAUUUUCUGCUACUGGUUCUUUGUUGCAAUGUAGGCCACGGCUUCAACAGAUCUUUCUUUCAAGUUGGAAUCAGAAUUUGACAUACUUACUAGUGCUUUGAAAUCAAGAGAAAUCUUUUGUCAGUUGGAGCAAAUUGAUGGCAAUUUUAAGCUAAACCCAUCAAUGGAGGAAUGGGAGAAGGCCAUAGCUCUAAAGAGUUGUUUGAAAUGUUUUAAUAAUAUCAAAGGAACUCAAUCCAUUACUGUAAGUUUGUACUUUCCAAUGCUUUGUGACAUAUACAAGAAAUUUCUUCAACUGGAAAAAAGCAAUCAUUCAUUUCUUACAUUGAUGAAGAGGAAAUUUGAUCGCUAUUGGAGCUUAUGUAAUUUGGAAUUAGCUGUUGCAGCUGUUCUUGAUCCAAGGUUAAAAUUUAAAAUUGUGGAGCUCUCAUAUAAUGUGAUUUAUGGCCAUGACAAUAAGAUGCAACUGAACCGGUUUUAUAAAGUUCUUACAGAUGUUUACUGUAAAUAUACCAAUGGAGCUAGAAAUUCGAUUGCAUCCACUUCAAUAUUGGGUGAUUCCAAUUCUUUGACAACAGAGACUGCAAAUGAUUGUAUUUUGGACUCCUUCAAUAACUUUUUACCCUCAUAGAAGUCAGAGCUUGAGGAUUACUUAGGUGAGUCAGAGCCUGCACUUCCCUUAGAUGGAGACAUACUUGGUUGGUGGCGUGUCAAUUCCCUAAGGCUCCCUACUCUUGCAAAGAUGGCUCGUGAUCACCUUGCAAUGUUGGUAUCAGUUUCGAUGCCAUGUUCGGUUGUUAGUGCCAUGAUCACACAUUCAAGCUACAAUAGCUUGGACCCUGAUAGCAUGGAAGCUUUGGUAUGCAGUCAAAAUUGGUUGGAAACUCUUAAAGAAAGUAAGUCAUAACUCUUAAUUUGUUUAUCUGCUUUCAUUUGAUCUUCUACACUUCACUGAGAGAGUCCAAUAUAUUUUUUAAAGCUGCAUUAUUCAUCACUUAACUAAGUUCAUUUACUAUCACAGAUGAGGGAGAAAAUCAUGAACUUACACAAAAUACGGUAGGCAGUGUACAUGAAUUAUGAUUAGAAGCUAUCUCCAUUGAAUCUUUUUUUCAUACACCAUGAAGACUGAACUCCCUUGAUGCAUUUUCAUUUCAUAGGAAAAAAGGAAAAGGAAGAUGGAUGAGGAGGACACUUAUGUGGUAAAAAGUUUCAAACCUUCGAAUUGCGAAAAAGCUAAUAGUACCAAAGACAUUGCCAAAGAUUCCAACAACAAUGGUAAUUUACUACACUUAUUAUCAUUAACUAUUAUGGUACUCAAACUCGGAUGUCAAUGUUUUUAUUUAAUUUGAAAUUGAUUAAGCUGUUGAAAUAUCAUAUGGUAAUAUAUCUUAUUUUAAUUGAAUCUAGAAGAGCUGCAAAUAGUGAAAAGUUGCAAAAAUUGGUGUAAGGAAGAAACUGACAGUGGAAACAAAUACAAAGCUGCCAACAAAAUGGUAAGAAAUUUAGUGCUAUUUUUUUUUAUCAUUUCUAUCUUUAUUUAAAGAAUAAAUGUUGUUAUUUCACUUGAACUGAAAAGAUGAGAACUCUUUCUUUAUAGAAUGUUGGCAAAGAAGUGAUACCAUCAAAAUCAUCAGGUAUUUUCAACUAAACAAACUACUUGAAUUUGGUUUUCCUUAACAAUGAAAAUAAAUUAAAUUAUUAAGCAAAGCUUCUUAAUACAGAACUUAAUCUUGGAAGAAACACUAAUGACGUAAUAGAAAUUUCGAGUGAAGAUACGUCGAUCGAUACUAAUCAAUUAGAUCAGGUCGAAAGCUCAUCUUCCGAGUCUGAUAAUGAAACAACAUUGAAGGAUCAAGGAUCAUGGUGUGAACAGGUUCAUACUUCAUUUCUUUGGUUAUACAUACACCUACAUUCUUUUGGUUUUAUGCAUAUGUUAAUGUUUUUACAUCAUGAUUUUAUUUGAUUAUUGUUCUCAUAGGACGUUAAGGCAUAUUUACUCUCAAGGUUUACAAGCAAGGAGCAUAAACGGCUAGAUAAAUGGCAAAAGAAAUGCGAAAGGAAUGAGUUAAAUGGGUAUGCUGCUAGCUUUGAUGAGUUAAUAUUAGAAUAUGAAGUAAUCAUCAUAAUUUAACCAUAUAAUAAUGUUUAUAUUUCACAGAAAAAUGAUUGGACGAGAUGUAGAGUUUAAAUUGAUGGGUAAUGAAUUGGCACCUUUAUUCAUGGUACCUCAAGAUGAUGAAACUCGAGAAGAGUACUAUAUUAAUGAUUCGGUAAGUAAUUAUCAAAUGUAUAGUGAUCGGGCAUAAAUUAAUUCUGUAAUUCGUAUAUUUGUAUCAUCUUCAUAAUUAUAUUUUGUGUCAUGCAUUAGUUAUCAAGUUGCGUUCAAUGUUAUCAUGUCUUCAAUCUAGUAUGAAACUAAUUGAAGAUAAAUUAAUUAUGUUAAUUUUUUAUGUUAUGAUACAGGUUGUUAACGUUUUCUUCGAAUUGCUUAAGAAGAGAUCUGACAAAUUUCCAAAUGCAUACAUCAAUCACUAUUCAUUUAGCUCUCAUUUAGUUGUAAGAACCUUUAUCUUACCACAAUCUAAUGGUAUUUGGAAUAGAAAUUGUUAUUAUUUUAUAAACAUUAUAUAUAAUGAAUGUAACAUAUAUUUUGGAACCAUCAGACUCAAUUGAUAGAAGGAUUCAAAUCAGAACAUGAAGUAUUAGCUUGGCUUAAAGUUGAGAAGCUAAGGGGUGUACAUAAAGUAAGCUCUCUGAUUUUUUUUUUAAUUUUCCUUGUGGCUUAUAAUUGAGAUUUAAAAUGUGUUUGUGAUCGCAGAUGCUUUUACCAUUGUGCAUAUCAUCCCAUUGGGUUCUUUUAUAUGUUGAUAUCAAGGAAAAAAUAUUUUCAUGGUUGGAUCCAAAUCCGUCUUCUCAAAUACUAUCUUUCCAUUUCGAAAAACCUGUUAAAGUAUUACAGUGCUUUAAAAGCUUUUUACUCCCAAAGCUUGGUUAUAGUGAUGCAAAUGAAUGGCCAUUUGUGGUGCGUAAUGAUAUCCCAAAGCAAAAAAAGUAAGUACUUUUCAUAAUCUACAGCUUUGUAACUUUUUAAUUUACUUGUUAUCUUACAAAUUUGUCUCUUUUUUUUUCAUUUUUUUAUUAUAAUAUGAAGCUCGGUUGAUUGUGCGGUGUUUGUGAUGAAAUACGGUGAUUGUCUUACGCACGGUGAAUGCUUUCCUUUCAAACAAGAAGACAUGGUCCAUUUUCGUCGUCGCAUUUUUCUAGAUAUAUAUCGUGGAAGAUUACAUAGAAAAAAAAAUGAAGAUUGAUGCCUUGUUUAAGAACUCAUAGUCAAAAGGAUGUGAAUUCGAAUUUUUAAAAUUUGAUGGAAAUUAUUGUUUUUUAAUGCAUGCAUGAUACUUUCACUCACACAUUUUGUCAAUUUUAAAGUUGAAUUAUGAUCAUCUUCCAGUACUGUAUUUGAGGACAAUGUUUCAUUAAUUUUUUAUUUUUUAUAUUUUUAAUAUCAUUUUUUUACCCACAUCGUGAAUAUGAAAAAAUGUAGUAUUAACUUUUAUUUAAAUUUAAUUAUAAAAAUAAAAAUACUCAUAUACUCAUAUUUGAAAUAUUUUAAUUUUUAAAAUAGUAAAAUUAACCAUUUUAGGUAGCCUAGACUUGACUCAAAUGAGCUUUCAAUUUUUUUUAGUUCAAUACGACUUUAACUUAUGAAUACCUAUCUAUGUAAGAGAAAAUCAAAUUUAUUUGAAUAAGUAUAAUUAUGACAUUAUGUUUUUAAUUUAUUUAAAUUUAUGAAUAACUGACUUAAAAAAGUUACCUUUCAAUUUUAAUUAUCUUUAUCAAACUAAAAGUAAAAUGUCAAAAUUCUUUUCAUUUAGAGUGUUAUUUCAAAUUUUCAAAUUUUGUUUGUGAUAAUUGUUUCUUAUUUAAUAAUUGUACAGGGUUUGAUAUUGAAUCGAUUAGCUGCACUUGCCGAGAUACAUGACAUAUCAAAAAAUUUAUGUUGUAAAUACAAGCUUUCAUUGGCUUUAACAUGGGCUGCUAAGGAUAACAAUAUGAAUGAAACUAUCUCAGGUCCAAAUAAGAAACAUGCUUUUUCUAUCCAAAGAAAUUCUUGUUAUGUGAAAGAUAGCAAAUCUUUUGAUUUUUGUCUUAUUAUGAAGACACAUUUUGUGGCCCAUUCAUUAUAAAGAAAGAAUUUGAAUCAAGGGACGGCUACCAUUUUGAACCAUCUCUUACUAAGGUAGAAGACUAUAGACAUUCCAGUUUAGAUGAUUAUAACAUAGAUGUUGCUAUUGCCAUCUGUUUACAAAAUCGUCACACAAGUUAUGAAGUUUAUAUCGUAGAAUUUUUUUGGCCUUCAACUGAGAGUGAAAUAUCAAAAUCUAAAGCUCUUCGUAUUUUCGAUGACUUGAAACAUAUGAAGACAACGUUUGUAAUAGUAAAAGUUCAAGUCCCCGAAAUUAAGUUCCAAGAAGGGUCUUAUAACAAGAUGUUGGUGCUGUAACUGAAACUAACAGAUUCAGUGCAAACUUGUCAAGCAAGUCUCGAGACUUGCUGAGCAAACAAGAGAAUUCGAGCAAGAGAAAGAAAGAAAAGUUAAGAAAAAUGAAGAGAAAAAUUGAUGAACAAACUGAACUUCAUUCAUAAAAUUGCAUAAUGGCACAAUGCCAAUACAUAAACCAAGCACUAAGCUUGUCAAAAACAGCAAAUAAUUACCUAAACAUCACCUACCUCCACUAAUGACAUGGAAACUUGAAAUUUUGGCUUGUAAACUUAUACAAAGUUGUGUUUACAGCUCAUACAUAAGCUAAUUACAUCAGUCAACAACCUAACUUAGUUAGAAAUGAACUAAGAUUACAUUUCAUUGACUAGGAAUUACAAAAUAAACACAAUAAGCUUGCAUCAGCAGCUCCUGCAUGACUUGGUCUUCAUGGCCUGCAUGCUGUCGAGUUUGCUGCAUGCUGAACCAACUUCAUCACUCCUCAUUGGUUUGCAUGAAGCAAACACCUAGCUUCUUUCUUAGACAUUCGAACCUUGUGACACUAAGGGCUUUGGUUAAAAUGUCUGCAAGUUGAUCCUCUGAAUUACAGUGGAUCAGCUUUACUUCCUGAGCUUGCUCCAUUUCUCGAACAACAUGCAACUUGAUGCUGAAAUGUUUUGUUCUUCCAUGGAACACUGGAUUUUUAGCAAUUGCUACUGCAGAUUGGUUGUCACAGAAGAUCUCAGUAGCUUCCUCUUGAUGCACAUUCAAGUCAGCCAAUAUUUUCCUUAGCCAUAUGGCUUGGUUGACAGCACUUGCUGUUGCCACAUAUUCUGCUUCAGCAGUAGAUUGAGCUACUAGACUUUGCUUCUUUGAGCUCCAGCAAAACAUGGCUGAACCAAGGUUAAAAGCAUACCCUGAGGUGCUUUUCAUGUCAUCUAUCGAGCCAGCCCAGUCACUAUCAGUGUAGCCAACCAGCUUCAAAUUUCCUUCUUUGCUGUACUUCAAACCAUAGUUUAAAGUGCCUUUGACAUAUCUCAGCACUCUCUUUGCAGCUUGGAAAUGCUUCUCAUUACAGCAAUGCAAGAACCUUGAGAGCAAUCCUACAGCAUACAUGAUGUCUGGUCUAGUGGCAGUCAAGUAUAGCAAGCAACCAACUAGACUCCUAUAGGUUGUUUCACAAACUUUCUCAAAAUCACCUUGGCUCGAUAGUUUUUCUCCAACAGCAACAGGUGUUUUAGUUGCCUUGCUGUUUUGCAUGGAUAACUUGGUCAUAAUCUUUGUGGCAAAGCUUCUCUGGCUUAGAAAUAUCUCAUUCUGUACUUGAGACACCUCCAUUCCAAGAAAAUAAGAUAUCUCCCCAAGAUCAGACAUUUCAAACACUUCCUGCAUCUUGGUCUUGAAAUCAGCCAGCACUACUCGAGCUCCUCCUGUCACCAGAAGGUCAUCAACAUACAGGGACACAAUGAGUUGUAUUUGUGUCCCUUGUUUCUUGACAUACAGUGUUGGCUCACUCUUACUUCGAUCAAAUCCCAGAUCAGUCAAGUAGCCAUCGAUUCUGCUAUACCAAGCCCUUGGAGCCUGUUUUAAUCCAUAUAGGGCCUUCUUCAGUUUGUAGACCAUAUGCUCUCUGCCAGCUAUUUCAAACCCUUGUGGUUGUUCAACAUAGAUGUCUUCAUCUAAGAAACCAUUCAGAAAGGCUGAUUUCACAUCAAGUUGAUAGAUUUUCCAUUCGAGCUGUGCUGCUAAGGCAAUCAGCAGUCUGAUGGUGUCGAGCCUGGCCACUGGUGCAAAGGUCUCCAGGUAGUCCAGGCCAUACCUCUGACUGAACCCCUUGACAACUAGCCUUGCUUUCAGUUUGUUCAAGGUUCCAUCAGCAUUGUGCUUGACUUUGUACACCCAUUUCACCCCAAUCACCUUCCUUUUGACUGGCCUUUCAACCAAUUCCUAGGUCUGGUUCUUCUCAAUCAUGCUGAUCUCCUCAGCCAUUGCCUGCUUCCACCCUUGCUGAGCCUCAGCCUCUUCAAAGUUGCUUGGUUCAGCUAUGGCUACAUGAGCCCUUUCAUAAAUCUCAGCCAAUGACCUUGUUCCUCUGACUGGUUCAUCAUCAAUAUCCAUUUCAGGGACAUUUUGGUCUGGCUCAGCUUGGUCUGCUGCAAGUUCUGCAGAAACUUCUUCAGGUUCAUGUCUUUCCCAGUUCCAACAUGACCUCUCAUCAAAUACCACAUCCCUGCUUACUGACACUUUGUUUGUUGAAGGAUCUAAAAUCCUAUAACCCUUCUUAACAGUGCUGUAGCCCACCAAAACACCAGGUCGAGCCCUUUAAGACAAUUUGUCCCUUUUAACAGCAGGUACAUGUGCAUAACAGAUGCAUCCAAAGACCUUCAGAUGAGCCAGUGAUGGCUUGAAGCUAAACCAGGCCUCGAAUGGGGUCUUUUGAUCCAAAGCCUUGGUUGGAAGUCUAUUUUGAAUGUAUGUUGCAGUGUUAACUGCUUCUGCCCAUAGUGCUUUAGGCAGAUUCUUCUGAAUCAUCAAGCACCUGGCCAUAUCCAUCAAACUCCUAUUCUUCCUUUCACUUACCCCAUUCUGCUGAGGUGUAUAUGUGUUGGUAAGUUGAUGUUUGAUGCCUGCCUUAUCACAAAAGGCUUGGAACUGAGCUGAGGUGUACUCAGUCCCAUUAUCAGACCUUAUAGUCUUCACCUUGCAGCCUGUUUCUGUCUCAGCAGCAGUUUUAAACUUCCGAAACACAGUGGUCACCUUUGAUUUCUGUUUUAAGAAGUAAAUCCAGCAAUAUCUCGAGAAAUCAUCAAUGAACAGUAUAAAAUACCUGUUUCCACUUAUGACUCAGUCUUCAUAGGGCCACACACAUCAGUAUGCACCAGUUGGAGUUUUUCAGAGGCUCUCCAGGCUUGAUUCGAGGGAAAUGGAAGUCUGGCCUGCUUUCCUAGCUGACAUACUUCACAUACAUCAUCAUGGUCCACUGAGUUGAUGAAAUUUUCAGCCAGGUCCUCUCUGACCAUUCGGGCCAUCGAUCUGAAGUUGGCAUGUCCCAGUCUUUGAUGCCACAGCUUGGAUUCAUCUGAAGUGGCUGUGUAGGCAAUGUCUGACUUUUUUGUCCAGUCAACCACAAAGCUCUUAUCAGCCAUAGGGACUGCCAUCAGUUUGGAUCCACUUGGAUCACUGAUUUGGCACUGGUGGUCUUUAAACACAACUGAAUAACCUUUUUCCAGCAACUGAGCUAUGUUGAGCAGGUUUCUGUCAAUUUCAGGCACCAACAGCACAUUUGAAAUUACUUUGCUACCUGUAAGGGUGCAUAUCAGCACAUCACCCCUGCCUUCAGCUUGAAUAAAAUGACCAUUUCCUAUCUUGACUUUAGUUCUGCAGCUUCUGUCUAAAGACUUGAAGAUUGCAGCAUCAGGUGUCAUGUGGUUGGUGCAUCCACUGUCUAGGAGCCAACCAGAUGAGGACCUUUCCUGAGCAGCUGAGCAUGACACAGCAAAGACUUGCUCCUCUUGGUCACUGUCCUCCUUAGCUACUCGAGCCUCAGCUUUCAUCUGUUGAAACUGAUUCUGCCUCGAUUUGGUCUUACUCUUGCAGACUCUCUCAACAUGACCCUUCUUUUUACAAUGCUGACAUACAGCAUCUGGAUUGAACCAGUAUUUUUCUUUUGGAUGACCAGCCCUUCUGCAGUGCUUGCAAGUCUGACCCUCUUUUCUUGCAACAUCAGUCCUUGGCUUGUCUCUCCAGGCCUUCUUGCCUUUGUAGGCAGUGUUUGUUCUUGCCUGAAAGGCACAUUCUUGAUGCUCAUCCAGUCUGCUUGCUCUUCUUUGCUCUUGAGCAUAUAAAGCAUUGAUCAACUCUGUCAGGGAGAUGGUGUACAGGUCCCUUGAGUCCUCGAGAGAUGAGAUUUUUUCCUCAUACCUCUCGGGCAGAGUUGCAAUAACCUUCUCCACUAUCCUAGCUUCCUUGAGCUGCUCUCCAAGGAGCCUAAUGCUGUUAACUACAGUCAUAAUCCUGUCAGAGUACUGCUUGAUAGUUUCUUCUUCCUUCAUCUUCAAAUUCUCGAAAUCUCUCCUUAAGUUCAGCAACUGUUGCUGCCUUGUCCUCUCUGUCCCUUGAAACUCCUCUUGCAACUUAUCCCAGGCUUGUUUUGGUGAUCACAGGCCAUAAUCCUUGUGAAAAUCACAUCUGACACUGAGUUCUGGAUGCAAGACAUGGCUUUGUGCCUCUUGGUCCUCUCAUCAGCAUACUGCCUGAUUUGAGCCACUGUUGGAUUACCUCUAAGUGGCUCUGGUUCAACAUCUGAGUUGACUACCUCCCACAGAUCGAAAGCUUGUAGGUAGGUCUUCAUUUUAACCACCCAUAUGUGGUAGCCUUCUCCAUUGAAGACUUGAGGUGCAGCUGGUGAAAAGCUUGAUGAAGCCAUGAAUUUGUAUAACAGAUCCCUUAAGAAAUAGGCUCUUGAUACCAAUUGUUGGAGCUAAGUGCAACAAAUAGCAAUGUUCAACAAAAAGCUUGCCGAGCAAGAAUCGAGACUUGCGGCAGAAACAAAGAAGAAAAAUGAAAUAAAUUUUAAGCAAAGCUAAAAUAGAGAGUAUAUGGAUGAAAUCUUGAUUGAAUUCAUUCAUCUUUUUUUAAAAUGGCAUAAAGCCUAUUUAUACAAGCUUACAACUUGACAACUUAGUUGGAAUACAACUAAGUUUCAUCAUUACAUCCACUUAAAAUAAAUCACCACUUACUACCACUAACAAACUUAGUUGGAAUACAACUAAGUUUCAUCAUUACAUCCACUUAAAAUAAAUCACCACCUACUACCACUAACAAACUUAGUUGGAAUACAACUAAGUUACAUCAUUACAUCCAAAUAAUAAUAAUAAUAAUAAUAAUAAUAAUAAUAAUAAUAAUAAAACAUGUGAUUACUACAUGCUAACCAUUACUUCAAUAGAAUCCAUUGAAUAUGUCACUAAAACAACACAUGGGAGACUAAAAUUCCAAGAAGCUGUAGAUCAAGUGAAGCUACAAGGUGGGAAAUCAUUGGAUGAUCUUUCUUUCAAGUUGGAAUCAGAAUUUGACAUACUUACUAGUGCUUUGAAAUCAAGAGAAAUCUUUUGUCAGUUGGAGCAAAUUGAUGGCAAUUUUAAGCUAAACCCAUCAAUGGAGGAAUGGGAGAAGGCCAUAGCUCUAAAGAGUUGUUUGAAAUGUUUUAAUGAUAUCAAAGGAACUCAAUCCAUUACUGUAAGUUUGUACUUUCCAAUGCUUUGUGACAUAUACAAGAAAUUUCUUCAGCUGGAAAAAAGCAAUCAUUCAUUUCUUACAUUGAUGAAGAGGAAAUUUGAUCGCUAUUGGAGCUUAUGUAAUUUGGAAUUAGCUGUUGCAGCUGUUCUUGAUCCAAGGUUAAAAUUUAAAAUUGUGGAGCUCUCAUAUAAUUUGAUUUAUGGCCAUGACAAUAAGAUGCAACUGAACCGGUUUUAUAAAGUUCUUACAGAUGUUUACUGUAAAUAUACCAAUGGAGCUAGAAAUUCGAUUGCAUCCACUUCAAUAUUGGGUGAUUCCAAUUCUUUGACAACAGAGACUGCAAAUGAUUGUAUUUUGGACUCCUUCAAUAACUUUUUACCCUCAUGGAAGUCAGAGCUUGAGGAUUACUUAGGUGAGUCAGAGCCUGCACUUCCCUUAGAUGGAGACAUACUUGGUUGGUGGCGUGUCAAUUCCCUAAGGCUCCCUACUCUUGCAAAGAUGGCUCGUGAUCACCUUGCAAUGUUGGUAUCAGUUUCGAUGCCAUGUUCGGUUGUUAGUGCCAUGAUCACACAUUCAAGCUACAAUAGUUUGGACCCUGAUAGCAUGGAAGCUUUGGUAUGCAGUCAAAAUUGGUUGGAAACUCUUAAAGAAAGUAAGUCAUAACUCUUAAUUUGUUUAUCUGCUUUCAUUUGAUCUUCUACACUUCACUGAGAGAGUCCAAUAUAUUUUUUAAAGCUGCAUUAUUCAUCACUUAACUAAGUUCAUUUACUAUCACAGAUGAGGGAGAAAAUCAUGAACUUACACAAAAUACGGUAGGCAGUGUACAUGAAUUAUGAUUAGAAGCUAUCUCCAUUGAAUCUUUUUUUCAUACACCAUGAAGACUGAACUCCCUUGAUGCAUUUUCAUUUCAUAGGAAAAAAGGAAAAGGAAGAUGGAUGAGGAGGACAAUUAUGUGGUAAAAAGUUUCAAACCUUCGAAUUGCGAAAAAGCUAAUAGUACCAAAGACAUUGCCAAAGAUUCCAACAACAAUGGUAAUUUACUACACUUAUUAUCAUUAACUAUUAUGGUACUCAAACUCGGAUGUCAAUGUUUUUAUUUAAUUUGAAAUUGAUUAAGCUGUUGAAAUAUCAUAUGGUAAUAUAUCUUAUUUUAAUUGAAUCUAGAAGAGCUGCAAAUAGUGAAAAGUUGCAAAAAUUGGUGUAAGGAAGAAACUGACAGUGGAAACAAAUACAAAGCUGCCAACAAAAUGGUAAGAAAUUUAGUGCUAUUUUUUUUUAUCAUUUCUAUCUUUAUUUAAAGAAUAAAUGUUGUUAUUUCACUUGAACUAAAAAGAUGAGAACUCUUUCUUUAUAGAAUGUUGGCAAAGAAGUGAUACCAUCAAAAUCAUCAGGUAUUUUCAACUAAACAAACUACUUGAAUUUGGUUUUCCUUAACAAUGAAAAUAAAUUAAAUUAUUAAGCAAAGCUUCUUAAUACAGAACUUAAUCUUGGAAGAAACACUAAUGACGUAAUAGAAAUUUCGAGUGAAGAUACGUCGAUCGAUACUAAUCAAUUAGAUCAGGUCGAAAGCUCAUCUUCCGAGUCUGAUAAUGAAACAACAUUGAAGGAUCAAGGAUCAUGGUGUGAACAGGUUCAUACUUCAUUUCUUUGGUUAUACAUACACCUACAUUCUUUUGGUUUUAUGCAUAUGUUAAUGUUUUUACAUCAUGAUUUUAUUUGAUUAUUGUUCUUAUAGGACGUUAAGGCAUAUUUACUCUCAAGGUUUACAAGCAAGGAGCAUAAACGGCUAGAUAAAUGGCAAAAGAAAUGUGAAAGGAAUGAGUUAAAUGGGUAUGUUGCUAGCUUUGAUGAGUUAAUAUUUGAAUAUGAAGUGAUCAUCAUAAUUUAACUAUAUAACAAUGUUUAUAUUUUACAGAAAAAUGAUUGGACGAGAUGUAGAGUUUAAAUUGAUGGGUAACGAAUUGGCACCUUUAUUCAUGGUACCUCAAGAUGAUGAAACUCGAGAAGAGUACUAUAUUAAUGAUUCGGUAAGUAAUUAUCAAAUGUAUAGUGGUCGGGCAUAAAUUAAUUUAGUAAUUCGUAUAUUUGUAUCAUCUUCAUAAUUAUAUUUUGUGUCAUGCAUUAGUUAUCAAGUUGCGUUCAAUGUUAUCAUGUCUACAAUCUAGUAUGAAACUAAUUAAAGAUAAAUCAAUGAUGUUAAUUUUUUAUGUGAUGAUACAGGUUGUUAACGUUUUCUUCGAAUUGCUUAAGAAGAGAUCCGACGAAUUUCCAAAUGCAUACAUCAAUCACUAUUCAUUCAGCUCUCAUUUAGUUGUAAGAACCUAUAUCUUGCCAAAAUCUAUUGGUAUUUAGAAUUGAAAUUGUUAUUAUUUUAUAAGCAUUAUAUAUAAUGAAAGUAACAUAUAUUUUGCAACCAUCAGACUCAAUUGAUAGAAGGAUUGAAAUCAGAACAUGAAGUAUUAGCUUGGUUUAAAGUUGAGAAGCUAAGGGGUGUACAUAAAGUAAGCUCUCUGAUUUUUUUAUUUUUUUUAAUUUUCCUUUUAGCUUUUAAUUGAGAUUUAAAAUGUGUUUGUGAUCGCAGAUGUUUUUACCAUUGUGCAUAUCAUCACAUUGGGUUCUUUUAUAUGUUGAUAUCAAGGAAAAAUAUUUUCAUGGUUGGAUCCAGAUCCGUCUUCUCAAAUACUAUCUUACCAUUUCGAAAAACCUGUUAAAGUAUUACAGUGCUUUAAAAGCUUUUUACUCCCAAAGCUUGGUUAUAGUGAUGCAAAUGAAUGGCCAUUUGUGGUGCGUAAUAAUAUCCCAAAGCAAAAAAAGUAAGUACUUUUCAUAAUCUACAGCUUUGUAACUUUUUAUUUACUUGUUAUCUUACAAAUUUGUCUCUUUUUUUCAUUUUUUUACUAUAAUGUGAAGCUCGGUUGAUUGUGCGGUGUUUGUGAUGAAAUACGGUGAUUGUCUUACGCACGGUGAAUGCUUUCCUUUCAAACAAGAAGACAUGGUCCAUUUUCGUCGUCGCAUUUUUCUUGAUAUAUAUCGUGAAAGAUUACAUAGAAAAAAUAAAGAUUGAUGCCUUGUUUAAGAACUCAAAGUCAAAAGGAUGUGAAUUCAAAUUUUUGAAAUUUGAUGGAAAUUAUUGUUUUUUAAUGCAUGCAUGAUACUUUUACUCACACAUUUUGUCAAUUUUAAAGUUGAAUUACGAUCAUCUUCUACCGAAUUUGAGGACAAUAUUUCAUUACUUUUUUAUUUUUUAUAUUUUUAAUAUCAUUUUUUUUAACCACAUCAUGAAUAUGAUAAAUAUAGUAUUUUUAAAUUUAAUUCUACUCCAACAUAUUUAAGUUGAUUAAGUAUAUUUGUUUAGUUCCUCUCAAAUAUCAAUAAUUCAAUUUAAAUCAUUUUAUUUUAGAGUCUAAAAUAAUUUCAUUUUUCUUAUAUAUUUAAAAAAAAUCAAAUCAACAAUUUAAUAAAAUAGACUUUUAAAUAAUUUUAUAUUAUAUCAACCAAAUUAUAUAUAUAUAUAUAUAUAUAUAUCUUACAUUCCAUUCAAAUUAACCAAACAAAAAAUAGAACACUUGAUAUUAUACUAAAUAAUCAUACAUUCUAAUAAAAUUUAGAGCAAACUAUUUGGGUGGUCACCCAAUUUAAGGUACGUUCUAUUUUAGUCACUCAACUUUAAAAAUUUUUAAUUUCAUCACUAAAAUUUUUAAAUUUUAAAAUUUUAGUCACCCACAGUUAAAUACUUCACGGAAAGCUAAUGCGGGCAUGUUUUUAUUGAUCUAAUAACAAAUUUAGCCCUUCAAUAUUUAUAUAUUUUAUUAAUUUGAUCCUAAAUUUGAAAUUUUAACAAAUUUAACGUUCAAUGUUUACAAAAAAUUUUAUUUAGUUCUAAUUUUAAAAAAAAAUUCAAUUAAGUUAGCCCUGAAUAUUUACAAAAUUUAUCAAUUUAAUUUUAAUUCGAAAAUUUUAAAAGAAGAAAAAAUAUUUCAAAAGUUCAAAAUAUGUAUGGAAGUUCAAAAAUUUCCAUACGUUACCCAAGAGGAAAGCUUCAUUAAACUUAACGUUAUGAUGAUAGAAGGGUUUAGACUACCUAUCUUUUUAGCUUUUGCUUGUUGAAUAAAAAUCUGAGUGAUUUGUAUUUUGAGUGUCGAGGGCCGAUCAUAACAAUUUUUUUAAAUAUUUUUCUUCUUUUAAAUUUUUUGAAUUAAAAUUAAGAUUAACAAAUUUUAUAAAUGUUCAGGGCUAAUUUUAUUAGUUUUUUUAGAAUUAGAAUUAAAUGAAAAUUUUUGUAAACAUUGAGCGCUAAAUUUGUUGAAUUUUUACAUUUAGGAUCAAAUUAAUAAUGUGCAAACAUUGGAGGGCUUAAUUAUUAUUAAACCAAUAAAAAUAGGCCUGCUUUAGCUUUCCGUUAAGUAUUUAACUGUGGUGACUAAAAUUUUAAAUUUUGAAAAUAUUGAUGAUGAAAUUGAAAGUUUUUAAAGUUAAGUGACUAAAAUAAAACCUACACUAAAAUUGGAUGACCACCUAAGUAAUUUACCCUAAUUUUGUUAAGGUAGCCAGAUAUUAUGUGAACCAAAUAGACACUUAGAAGUAAGGUAAUCAAGCCUCUUAAUAGUGUUGGGUUUGGGACGAGCCUAUGUAAUGUUUGAAUACCAUAUAUAGUUAGUCAAAUUUAACUUGAUUUGAAAUAUAAGCCUCAAAAUUUACUUAAAUUCACUUAUAUUUAUAAAUAAUUAGUCCGAACCAUUUAAUCCGUC
rnacentral:lncRNA from 1 species